GACGAACGCUGGCGGCGUGCUUAACACAUGCAAGUCGAACGGGCUUCUGGGGUUCUGGCUUUUUUGGUUGGGGUUCUGGGGGUUAGUGGCGAACGGGUGAGUAACACGUGAGUAACCUGCCCUUCACUUCUGGAUAACCGCUUGAAAGGGUGGCUAAUACGGGAUGUUUCUGGGUCUGUCGCAUGGCGGGUUCGGGAAAGAUGGCACUGUUUGGUGUUUUUGGUGGGGGAUGGGCUCGCGGCCUAUCAGCUUGUUGGUGGGGUGAUGGCCUGCCAAGGCUUUGACGGGUAGCCGGCCUGAGAGGGUGGGCGGUCACACUGGGACUGAGAUACGGCCCAGACUCCUACGGGAGGCAGCAGUGGGGAAUAGUGCACAAUGGGCGGAAGCCUGAUGCAGCGACGUCGCGUGAGGGAUGGAGGCCUUCGGGUUGUGAACCUCUUUCGCCAGUGAGGAAGUCCUUGCCCGUGUGGUGGGGUUGACGGUAGCUGGGUUAAUUGAAGCGCCGGCUAACUACGUG
rnacentral:rRNA from 1 species